ensembl:snoRNA SNORD115 Small nucleolar RNA SNORD115
GGGUCAAUAAUGACACCUCAAUGUGUCUCGAAGAGAGAUGAUGACCUAAAAACAUACUCAAUGGGAUUUCGCUGAGGCCC